rnacentral:misc_RNA from 1 species
UAGAGCCCUGCCCUCACGGGUAGACCUCCAACCCUUUGUAUAUCAUGCCUCUGUUGCUUCGGCAGGCCGCCUGUGGUCUCGGCCUAGCUAUGGGCGCCAGCUCAUAAGUGCCUGCCAGAAGACCAGUAAACUCUGAAUUUUCAUGUCGUCUGAGUAAAAUUUAAUAAGUUA